UGAAAUUUUUGCUCCUUUUGAAUCAACUUCUUCACAACUCCAUUCCCCUGAAUGAUCGAGGGAGAUGGUCUCCUCGUUAGCUACACUCUUCUUGUUCUUUCCUAGUUCCCUGUCAUCACCCUAAUAAACUUCAAUUCCAUAGUUUCUGUCUUUUAUAUCUUCAUCAUUCUUCUCAUCAUUCUUGAGAACCCUCGCUUAUACUAGACAUAUGAGGAAGA
rnacentral:misc_RNA from 1 species